CAGCCGUAAACUAUGCUCGCUAGGUGUCAGGCAUGGCGCGACCGUGUCUGGUGCCGCAGGGAAGCCGUGAAGCGAGCCACCUGGGAAGUACGGCCGCAAGGCUGAACUUAAGGAUUGGCGGGGGAGCACAACAACGGGUGGAGCCUGCGGUUUAAUUGGACUCAACGCCGGACAACUCACCGGGAACGACAGCAAUAUGUAGGCCAGGCUGAAGACCUUGCCUGAAUCGCUGAGAGGAGGUGCAUGGCGUAGACGUCU
rnacentral:rRNA from 1 species